UUGGUGGGGUGAUGGCCUACCAAGGCAGUGACGGGUAGCCGGCCUGAGAGGGCGACCGGCCACACUGGGACUGAGACACGGCCCAGACUCCUACGGGAGGCAGCAGUGGGGAAUAUUGCGCAAUGGGCGGAAGCCUGACGCAGCGACGCCGCGUGAGGGAUGACGGUCUUCGGAUUGUAAACCUCUUUCACCCACGACGAAGCGAAAGUGACGGUAGUGGGAGAAGAAGCACCGGCCAACUACGUGCCAGCAGCCGCGGUAAUACGUAGGGUGCAAGCGUUGUCCGGAAUUAUUGGGCGUAAAGAGCUCGUAGGCGGCUUGUCACGUCGACUGUGAAAACCCGGGGCUCAACUCCGGGCCUGCAGUCGAUACGGGCUGGCUUGAGUGCGGUAGGGGAGACUGGAAUUCCUGGUGUAGCGGUGAAAUGCGCAGAUAUCAGGAGGAACACCGGUGGCGAAGGCGGGUCUCUGGGCCGUAACUGACGCUGAGGAGCGAAAGCGUGGGGAGCGAACAGGAUUAGAUACCCUGGUAGUCCACGCCGUAAACGUUGGGCGCUAGGUGUGGGGACCUAUCCACGGUCUCCGUGCCGCAGCUAACGCAUUAAGCGCCCCGCCUGGGGAGU
rnacentral:rRNA from 1 species